ACAAACUGUUUUUUAUCUCACAGCUUUCCAUGUUCUCUUUCAAUCCCUUUCUUUCUCUUCGUACUUUGUGAUCUUGAUUCAUUGCUUUGUUGAUUUGUUAACAGGGAUUGAGAGAUGACAGAGAGAUUAACAGUGAAUCAGAAAUUCACUUACAACACUUUCGAUCGGUGUUUGGUGACUUAGGGUUUUAGAAGAAACUGCAGAUGAAAGUGAAGAGGGAAUCAGAGCGGAAAUGAUAUGGUUCGUUGAGAUAAGGGUUAUUGAGAACUCAGAUCGAUGAUUAAGUCAAAUAUUCCAGGUUAAGCUCUUGGAUGAUGAUGAUGAUGGGGGUUUGAGAGUUCUUGGAUGAUGAUGAGGGUUGGGUUGAGCUCGAUUUGCAACCAGAUGAAGAAAUCAAUCAAGAAAAAAUAUUCCAGUUUCUACAAAACCUUUCCAUUUGGGUUUCUGCUGCUAAUCAAGUCGGGGAUGAACCAAUUGAUGCUGACUCCAAUUUAGGCACGGACAUGGUGGCCGUUUGCUGGAGUUAUGUGAAGUAUUAUCAAGGGGGAUGCUGGAUGAUGUUCGAUGCUUGGUUACAGUUGUGGUCUUUGUACUAUUGGACAUUUGGUAUCUUGAUUUUAUGGAUGUACCUUGGGAAUCCUGAACUCACUGAAUUGACCUGGUGGUGGAGCUUGAUGGUAAUAUAGCUUAUAUUACACCUGGUGAUUUUGAUCUUUUAUAAUGUAAUCAUAUCUUAUAGCUUGAUGGUACCUAAAAUAAUACCAGAAAGUAAUACUAAUUGACAUGUGCUCUUUGCUUACCAGAGAUUUAUGUUUCCGUCCUCCGGCAAUAUGCCUAAUAACUUCAAGUUUCAGUCAUGUUGUUUCUCGGCAAUAUGCCUAAUAACUUCAAGUUUCAGUCAUGUUGUUUCUGAUUACGUUAUUGACAUGGUUAUAAAGAUUUCAUCUAAUGCCAUUCAUGUGA